UCAUUGGUCACGAGUUUCUGGGAGGAGCUGUUCAGAGAGGAGAGACGGAUAUGAACCACGUUUGUGGCAUUGCCUCUGUUUGCCAGUACUGCUAGGUCCGGAUGCCUAAACUUUUUGUCGAACACGGGUGAGAUGCUAGAACAAACUCUGGAGCUGUUUUUGUCGAACACGGGUUUACUGGUUCAGCUGCUGCAGCCUGGACACAAACACCAGCUCCCACCUUAAAAAGCAAACAGAGGCCUGGACUACGAAGGGAGUUUAAGCCACUCUGAUUUAACUCGGGUUAUCAAGGAACGUCGGGGUUGACAGACGUCGGCUGCCUCGAUCUGCGUUAACUACAGCGACGGUUAAGAUGUCGAGAGAAGAGACCGACAUGAAGAUGUUUCCAGAAGCUAACGAAAUUGGCAUUCUGCUUGCUAGUCUGGCAUUCCAUCCAUCCGGAGAAAAACUCCAACCGCCAAAGUAGCAAACAACUGGUUCUGCUGAUAUGUCGACUACAGGAGAGGGUAUGGAAAUGACAAUGGAUGUGGCAGCGGAGAGUUUAAAACGGUGCCAUUCAUAUGCCAAACAACAACUUGCGGAUUUUGAUGACUCUCCAAGCGCGAGCCCACAGAAAAAAAUCACCCCGCUGUGAGCCGGAGCCCUCCAACGCUGUCCUGCUGGCGGCUAUUAACAAGCUCAUUGAGACGCAGCUCAGUUUCAGGGAGAAACUGGAAUCCAUAGAGAAGUCCAUUGAGAAUAAUGUCAAGAGGAUAGAGAGUUGGCAUCCAGAGUGGAUCCCCUGGAGCUCCAGAUUAAAACCCUGACCGCUGAAAAUAAGAAGCUGAUGGACAGAGUGAACGACAUGGAUGCAUACUUCAGCAUCCACCACGCCGCACUAUAGUCCGCUUUUCACACCGGGCACACCGUGACCAAGUCUGGGCGGACGCUAAAACCUCUCAGGUCCUCAAGCAGAAGAACGUGAAGAUAUCGGAGGACUUAACUCAGCAGGUGAGGGAUGCAAGAGCGAAGCUGUGGCCGCUGGUAGAAGAGGCGAGGAGGCCUUUUUGCUAUCACUGCUGGUAAGAAGAUAUCUGCAGAGGACUUGACAUGAAGUAUUUUCCUGAGUAUGUAGACUCAUCUAAUUGUGGAAAAUUUGAUUUUGAUAUAGCCUUUGGCAGCUGAGAGGAUAGCUCCUGUCCUGAACUUGUUGGGAUACUUGUUCCAUGGGAGACUCAUUCCACUUCAAAAGAUGAAGCAUUUUGGCGCAAUCAGUGGGGAGGGAAAGUUAUUUUUUCUCAUGGUACUAAUUUCUCAGGAGGUGUUUUAGUUUUACUCCAUGUUAAAUUUAAUGGUGAGAUCAUAUAUACAGAGGUUUCAGAUGGAUUCUGUUAGUAAUUCAAUGUGGAGAUAAUAUAUUUAUUUUGGUAAUGCUGGGAAUUCUAACAUCACACUCCUUAACUUUUUGUCUGACAAAAUUCUCCAAGAAAUGAACAAAUUUUCCUCAGCAUCUGUGAUUGUUGGCGGUGACUUUAAUGAGGCUCCAAACUUAUGUACAGAUAGAGGUAAUCAAGAUCAUUUUAACCCUGUUUAUAUUUGAUUUAACUGAUCAUGCUGGAAUAGAUAUUUCUUUAUCAAAUUUAAGUUCUGCUCACCACAACAAACCUGGAUACUGGAAGUUAAACUCUUCCUUUCUACAACAAUCAGCUUAUUGUUUGGGUAUUAAACAAAUGAUCACUAAAUUCAACUCAAUGUUUGAAAUUACACCUACGCUAAAAUGGGAGCUACUCAAAUUUAAAUGUCAAAGUUUUUUUGGAAAGCAGCAAUUAAGAGAUCAAAAUAAGGCUUAUGCUAAUAAUUUAAAAGAGUUGAAUGAUUUAUUAAAUAUACCUGUUCCAAGUAAUGAAGAUAAAGUGCGUUUGCACUCAUUAAGGGAAAAAUUAGACCUUUUAUUCCAGACAAAAGCAAGGGGAGCAUUCAUAAGGUCUCGGGCCAGAUGGUUGGAACAUGGAGAAAAGAACUCCUCCUUCUUUUUUAAUUUGGAGAAAAAACGUGGUGAGGCCAGAAAAAUAUCUGCCUUAUAUAUCGAUAACAGUCUCUCUGAAAAUGAUAAAGAAAUCUCUUCUUUUAUCUCUUAACUUUUAUCAAAAGUUAUACUCUUCCUCAUUUAACCCUCAGGCUUGUCGUGUCUUUUUUGAUAAAGUAUCCCCAUUCAUUCCUAAAACUUCCAGGGAGAAUUACGAGCUUUGUGAAAGUCCAAUUACACUAGAAGAAUCGAAGAAGACUAUUACAAAAAUGCCAGCUAAUAAAAGUCCUGGUCCAGAUGGAUUGCCUUAUGAAUUUUAUGUAACUUUUUGGGAUGAUUUAAUAAAACAUUUGUUGUUGGGAGUGUUUGUGGAUUGUGCCAGAAAUAAGGAACUGACUGUUUCUAUGAAGCAAGGUUUAAUAUCACUAAUCCCUAAACCUGGUAAAGAUCUUCUUUAUCUGGAUAAUUGGCGUCCUAUAACGUUGCUAAAUUCAGACUACAAAAUCCUUGCAGCACUGUACGCCAAUAGAUAAAAAUUUUGCUUAGAGGAAAUUAUUUCUGUAACACAGUCAGGUUUUAUGAAAGGUCGGCACAUUGCUAAUAAUAUUCGGCUUGUCCUAGACAUUUUAGAUUAUAGAGACCUGUUUGAUCAAAAGUCACUGAUUUAGUUUUUGGACUUUUACAAAGCUUUUGAUACUCUGGAACACUCGUUUAUUUUUGAGGCUUUGCAAUAUUUUGGGUUCAAAGAAAACUUCAGGAACAUCAUAAGUACACUCUAUACCAAUAUUAAUAGCUGUGUAUCCCUGGCACAUGGUACUUCUCCUCGCUUUCAUAUAAACCGUGGGAUAAGACCAAGGGUGUCCAAUUUCACCUUUCUUAUUUUUGGUAGCUGCUGAACUUCUUAAUCUGUUCAUUGUUAACUGUGUGAAUAUAGAGGGUAUUAAGAUAGGUGACAAUGUUCUAACCAUUAGUCAGCUGGCUGAUGACACCUGUCUGUUUCUCCAAAAUGAACUUCAAGUCCCUGGGUAUCACAAUAAGCAAAUCUAUUAGUGAGAGGAUCUCUCAAAACGUUCUGCCAAAAAUUGUCUAAAAAAGUCUAAAUCUAUCUUUAACUGCUGGUUACAGAGAGACCUUACUAUUAUAGGUUGAAUUUUACUUUCUAAGGCAGAAGGUUUAUCUAGAUUAGCGUACCCAGCUUUAUCUUUAUAUGUAGAUCGCAAAACCUGUGCAGCUAUUGAUUCACUCUUAUUUACAUUUAUUUGGAAACACAAAAAUGAGAAUAUAAAGAGGAAGACAAUUAUCAGACACUAUUCAGAGGGUGGUGUUAAUGUGUUAGACUUCCAAACUAUCAACAGUAUAUUCAAACUCAACUGGAUAAAACAUUGUCUAGCACAUACUAAUGCGCCAUGGUUUUUUAUUCCCAAUUUUUUGUUUAAUAAAUGUGGUGGUUAAUUUACUUUACCUCAAGUGAAUUGCCUGUUAAGCUUGCCAACUUCCAUAAGCAAGCCGUGGACACAUGGGAAAUUGCUUUCAAACUCAACUUUUCUCCUCACACAUGUAUCUUAUGGAAUAAUCAACAUAUUGUUUACAAGAAUAAGAUCUUAUUUUUUAAAGAUUGGUACGAUCAGGGGGUUAUGUUUGUUUUUGAUCUUGUGAAUGAUAAGGGAGACCUAGCUGCAUAUGAAGAAUUCACCCAACGAAAAGGAUUAGACUUAUCUCGCUCUUUGCACUCCAGAGUACUCAAAAGUAUACCCACUAGUUUGUUGUCUCUUAUUAGAGCGUCUGUUCUGUACACAGCUUUCUCAGGAAUGAGUCCUGCUCUGUGGCUGGGUGGAAAGGUUCUUGAGGAACGUUCAUGUAACAAUGCUCAUAUUAGGUCAGUUUGUACUUUUGUUCAUAGUCAGUAUCCAAACUCAUUUCAUCGUUGGAGAGUGAUGUUUCCUGAAAUCAGUAACAACAUCUGGACUGAAUUUAAUAGAUUUUUUUGUCUCCAAUAAAGUUAAAGAAAUACAUAUUAAAAUCUUACAUAGAUAUUAUCCCCGUAAUGAAUUCAUUAACAGAUUUAGACCUGAUGUGUCCCCUUUAUGUUCCUUCUGCAAAAAAGAGAUUGAGUCUUUAUGUCAUGUGUUUUAUGGAUGUGCCUAUUCUACUAACUUCUGGACUCUAUUAUCUUUAUUGAUUUGGGAAUAUCAUAAAGUUUUGGUCACUUUUACUGAAAAUAUGGUCUUAUUCUUAAAUGUUGACUGUAACAAUGAGGAAGUUAAAAAUGUAAUCAAAUUGCUGUGUCUCUUGGGUAAAUUUCACAUCCAUAAGGCUAGAUUUCUCCAGGCCAAGCCAAAUGUAUCUUUGUUUUAUAUGGAGUGCAAAUCUUUUAAUGACGCUAUAGGUAAAAUUAGUAAGAAUAAGAAAGCUUUCAAGACAUCCAAUCUUUUGGAAAGUAUUAUACGUCAUAUCAAUAGGUUAGUUUUUUUUCCUUUCUCCUGUGCUUUUUGUGUGAUAUUCAUUAUGUACUCCUUGUGUCUCCCUGUAUGUUUGGAUGAUGUCAUGUUUGUUUGUUAGUGUCUUUAAUGUGAUAAUAAAGUGUUAAAAAAAGAAAAGAAAAAAAAAGAAAGAAAGCGUAUGUCGUCAUUGGUUACGGCGUGGCUCGUCACUGGUCACGAGUUUCUGGGAGGAGCUGUUCAGAGAGGAGAGACGGAUAUGAGCCACGUUUGUAGCAUUGCCUCUGUUUGCCAGUACUGCUAGGUCCGGAUGCCUAAACUUUUUGUCGAACACGGGUGAGAUGCUAAAACAAGCUCUGGAGCUGUUUUGGUCGAACACGGGUUUACUGGUUCAGCUGCUGCAGCCUGGACACAAACACCAGCUCCCACCUUAGAAAGCAAACAGAGGCCUGGACUACGAAGGGAGUUUAAGCCACUCUGAUUUAACUCGGGUUAUCAAGGAACGUCGGGGUUGACAGACGUCGGCUGCCUCGAUCUGCGUUAACUACAGCGAUGGUUAAGAUGUCAUUUAUGUUGAUGUGUGAAAAGUUACAUCAUCUCCCAAUGGAGGGGGGACGCCCGCUUCCGCCCCAAGCACUCCGGGCAGCAGCCUGCCUCGCCCCACCUCCUUUGUGGGCACCACAAGCUCCACCCCCCGCAACAAGGUGACCCAACCAGUGCGAAGUUUACUGACACCUCCAAAGAGCUUGUCCACCCUCAGUGCACUUCGUGACAGCACCCAGAGAGAUGGCUGCUACUGACGAGCGGAGGAAAAGGUCCAGUAGUGCAUUGGCACUCCGCUGGCUGGGGUAACUCACUACACCUCAACGUAACAUCUUUCAUAAGGGGAUAUUGAAUGGGUUUGACCAAAAAGUAACCUUAGAUCUGAGAGAUGCUGCAUAGAAUAGGUAGAUGUUACCACAGUUGAGGGUCUGAUCUGUUCUCUGACUGAUCUCUCAUGUCAUCCAUUCAAUCCUAAGCAGAAGCUUCACACUCGUAGGCUGAGUUUGGUCCGUGCCAAGGGGGAGUUGGUCCCUAGUUGCUCUGUUGCAAUAAACCACUGGCUGUAGGGUAUCCGUCAUACUAACCUGCUAAAGAGGGCUGCCAGUUUUUAUGAAAUGAGCCUCACGAUACUGUAUGUAUUUAUAUAUUUAUUUUAGGUAAUUUUAGGUGGACUAAUCAGGUGUUUUUUCCCUCUGGCAACAGGCGCCAUUAAUGCUGCUAAAAUGUAAUCAGUCCCUCUUAGUUUGGGCACAUUUGGUGUAAUUUUUACAAGUAAGACAUUAAAGUAUGUAUUGGUGUACAAAGCUAACUAUUAAGUGUGUAUAUAUUGAUGCAAUAUGACUGAUUUUUAAAUGUGAAUUUUGACCAAAAUGAAAAUGUAUGAUUGUGUUUACAAAAUUGUCACCAUCACAAAACUUUGUGCAUAUUAAUACUUUCAAAUUGUUUAACAACCUAUAAGGGAAACUGUUCUUGUUGCAUUUUGUAUACAUUUCUGAAUUUACUGAUAUUUUUAUGUUCUGUUUACCAAUGUUUGCACUUCUUUUAAGUUGGCUCCUCUGGAUUUAGGGGGGGAAAAACGUUAAUUCAGAGAUUUCACAGUUAACCACGGCAUAAUGUAGCACAUUUGCUCUGUAAUAUUUGUCUUGGGGUUUUAAAUGACCGUUAACAUGGCACAUCUCACAAACUGUGACACUUUUGUUGCUGUGAUGGACUGAAUGAGUGAAGCAUUUUAAUAAAAUACACUGUUUUCCCCUUAAA